UGUCUAAGCAAUAGCUUGGUGAUUGGCAAAACUUCGUGUUUUACAAAAAAUCAGAGCACCUGGCAUCCCAGCCAGCCAGCAGCCAGCCGAACAGCCAGCUGUCAAAUUUCGGCUCCUCCUCCGCAUCCAACCCUCGUCUACUUUUUGCCAAAGAGAGACCACCAUAUCUAGAGGCAUCAUGCCCUCCACUCUGGUCACUGGUUGUACAAGAAGUGAAGUUAUAGAAUCAACCGGAUGUGUCUCUGAUCAAACAGUGUUGGCAUCAUAGGAUGAAUGAAUUAUUAUUUCAUGUUAGUUAGGGUUACUAUAUGUAUUUGAUAAUGAAUGUUCAUACAACUUAACAAAUUACAAUACAAUUACUGCUAUCUAAUCAUCGAGAAUAAUCGUUCAAAGAUUGGUUGAUACUUUUUAUUAGGAGAUAAGAAAUUUAAUUUAGUUUAGUAAAUUAUUUUAUUUUUGGUAAAAUGAUUCACAAGCGGCUGAUCUGAUUUUAAUUUGAUUUUUUUUUCUUAUGCUAGCAACGGUACAAAGAUGACACCAAAACUAGUACGGCGACUUCAUUCACCGAAUGAGACGUCUGCCAACCACGAAGACGAUUCAUCCAUCCGCGCUACUAUAUUGUCCCCUCUUACAAAGGUAACCAAUUUAACAAUAAUUCAUUUGAAUCAGUUUAUCAUUUAGCAAUUAUUGAUUCGUUUUCAGAUUUUGUUGAUAAAAUUAUGCCGAGAUUGCUUGAUUGUCGAUUUUGACAAUCUUUGGAUGCCACUGGAGCCAGACGUAAACCAGCGUAAUGAUAAAGCAAUAAAAUGCUUUAGUGUUGAAGUACGAUUGAGUCUUAUGCUACGCCAGGUACCGAACUUUAACGAAGUUUCAGUACCAUAGGUCUGAAGAAAGGGCUGAAAGAUGCUCAAGGCGGUUGCUCAAAUCGAUAGUUAUAAUCACGAAAACAAAACCUCAUCGCAUCACCCGGUUAAACCAUUAAAAUUUUCCUCGAUCAACGUGACGCUGGUUCCGAAUCAGCAACAGUUCGCUGCUAUCGGAAAACGGCUUCCUCCUCUUCGGCACCCUAGUCGACGGUCAGCUGGGAGGGCAUCCUAGAACUCAUCAACAUGCCCGAGGGCAGUCUUAAAAUCCCAGUCAAUUCCAUCUCGGCCUCCCAGUUAUGCGAGGGCUUGAAUUCACUCCUGUUCUGCUGUGUUACAUUUGCCGACAACGAAACGCUUCCACCGCACACUAAGUUUCACUUCCGGGAGCUGAUCACCCGGGUAGAGAAUUAGUCGCUCUCGCUACGUUCUGGGGGCAGAAAGAAUGUGCAUGACAAUGAGAAACUCCUGCUGGAAGUCGGUCAGUCACUGAAGCAAAUCUCGAACAGGUCUUUUUGACUUGAACAACAGCCAGUCAACAAGAGUCGGUCACCGGAAUGUCAUCGUAAUUUUCAUGUCGCCUGAGUAGCCGUUAUUAAGCAAUCUGGUUUCGGCUGACCAGCGUUAUUUUAAACAACUGUUCAUUAUUCUGAGAUGGCCCCACGAGCUGCCCUCCGACUCUGUUUAAAUCGCAACUUGUCCGUGUUCAUGUUGAAAAAGGGGGUUUCUUACCGAACGAUAAUAGGUGCAACAUGGAGAACAGUAGCCUCAAUGAAUCCAUGAGUAGCAUGGACAAAUCUCAGUUCGAUAGUAGCGGCCAGUGGCUUGGUUCGAAAAAUUAUUUUUAUUCACCGGUUGGUUACGAGUCUAUCCGAGGCCUGGUUUCGGAAUCUUCAGUUGAACCAAAACUGCAACAGUCCCAUAGGAGCAACAACGGUUCGGAGAGGUUAAGGAACAAGCCAAGAAGGAGUAGAAGGCUAAGAAAUUAAUGAAGGAGUUGCCCCCGUGUUCGAGGAGAUGGAGGUGCAUUUCAUCCUUCAAUAUCUACAAAUCACAGGAGGACUUCUUUAAUGAACGUCCUGCUCAUCUUUCACAACUGUGAAAUGUACAACGAUGACGAUUCGCCGGUGGGCACAGCUGUUCAUAGAAUGUGCCAGCUUUGUAGAGGCGUUGGGCUGAACUGACCGAAAAGCCGGCCACGCAACAACCACAACGACAGCAAUCAUCAUGACAGCAGGAUCAACAACACUCCGGAUACUCAUAUUGAUGCCAGCAGUUAGCGUCAACCGUUUCAAUUACUUUAUCAGAAGUUAAUUUAAACAGUUUUACGUUAACAAUAAAUAGUUAAAUUGAAACUCGGUAAAAUAAUAGGAAACCAAGGCCUAAAAUGACCUCCUAGUGGAAAUAACAGGUUUAUUUAAUAGAUCAUGUAAAAAACUGUAGGCAAAUAGGAUUGUAGCAUUGAGACUGCGUUAGAAAAUUCCCAAAAUGAAUGUUCACUCGGUGUUGAGAGGUUCAAUUUAGUUUGGAAAUUUCAAACGUUAAACCAGGAAAAAUUGUUAUUACUUUCUAUUAUUUUAUUAUAAUUAUACAAUUAUGUUUAAUACUAGUUAUGAUUUAAAGCAUAAAUUAGGAGAAAAAUAAAAAAAAAC